rnacentral:rRNA from 1 species
CCUACGGGCGACAGCAGUGAGGAAUAUUGGUCCAUGGGCGCGAGCCUGACCCAGCCAAGCAGCGUGAAGGAUGACUGCCCUACGGUUUGUAACCUUCUUUUAUAAAGGAAUAAAGUGAGGCACGUGUGCCUUUUUGUAUGUACUUUAUGAAUAAGGAUCGGCUAACUCCGUGCCAGAAGCCGCGGUAAUACGGAGGAUCCGAGCGUUAUCCGGAUUGAUUGGGUGUAGAGGGAGCGUAGAUGGGUUGUUAAGUCAGUUGUGAAAGUUUGCGGCUCAACCGUAAAAUUGCAAUUGAUACUGGAGGUCUGGAGUACAGUAGAGGUAGGCGGAAUUCGUGGUGUAGCGGUGAAAUGCUUAGAUAUCACGAAGAACUCCGAUUGCGAAGGCAGCUUACUAAACUGCCACUGACAGUGAGGCUCGAAAGUGUGGGUAUCAAACAGGAUUAGAUACCCGUGUAGUC